UAUUGUAUUAAUAUUUUAAAUGUGGAAUUGAUCAUAUUUAGCGUAAUAUAAAUGUGUCCAUGAACACUCUUUAAAGACUCCAACAUCUAAUUCAUGAAGAGAAGUUAGCUAAGUUCCCUUUAAUUUAUUAGAAAAUUUACUUACUCAACAUAACACUUUGUAAAUUACAAGAUGGAAGAGAAGAUUGAAGAAAACACGCAAGAGAAGAAAGAAGAAAAGAGAGGUAGCAUUGAAUUCUUUGCAACGUAUCGACCACCCGUUCCGUUAGAUAUAUACUCAGCAAAAUAUCCACCGAUGUCGAACCGAGAUGAGGCACUCUUGACGGAUGGGAACUCCUAUAACUACAACGGACAAAUAAUUCCAGCUUCAGCUCUCAAGCUUAUCCUUCAAUGACCACUACUGCGCGGCCAAGGCACAGCCGAUGAUGUAGAUUCGGGCCGUCUAUCAGCAAUGAUAUUUGUGUCUGAACGGACUCAGAACCUCGAGACGCUUCAUAUAGCUCUCUUAUUCCAAGACCAACCGUCCAAAACACAAGUGUUUAAUUUUGCUCAAGUUUAUGACACAUUCAAGGGUGUUCGCAUGGAAGAUAGUGGUUGCAUUGCUGGGGAUUAUCUUAUCUAUGUCUCUACUAUGGAGCCUGCUCCUGAGCCUCAUCAACCUUGGACUGCGGUUUACAAAACUAAUCUCAACGACGGGAAAACUGAACGCCUAACCCUUAAAGGACAAGCAGAUUUAAGCCCCUCGGUGUCACCCGACGGCAAUAGAAUAGCUGUCGCAUCUCUCCAAAGAAAGGCUGGUUGGGAUGGUGAGAUUGAGGAUCUCAAGACUAGCAUUUUUGUUAUGAAUGUAAAUCGGCCAUUAAAUCGUGAGUUGGUUGUGGUCGAUGGUGGCUGGCCUACUUGGGGUAGUAACAACGUCCUCUAUUUUCAUCGUAACAUCGAGAAGGUUAAAAUACAAAAACGUUGGGGGGUGUUUCGAGUCGACCUUCGAGUGGGUCCCAAGUCCGUGACUCGUGUGACCCCGGCGGAGAUCAGUGCUAUGACUCCAGCAGCUAUUGAUGAGAACAAAGUGGUAGUUGCUACUGUUCGUCGAAGUUUCACAUUCGACGAUCAGGAUGAACGUGAAGUAGAUCAAUACCGGCACAUUGAAGUCUUUGAUAUGAGCCAACCGAAAGAGAAAGUCAUAGAAAUCACUAAGAAAACUAGACCUAUGGCAGACCAUUUCAAUCCCUUUGUUGUUGGUGAUGCAAUCAAUGGAGUAAAGCGUAUUGGUUAUCAUCAUUGCCAUAGUGACAAACUUAACGCUAUAGCGUUGUUGAGAAAGAUUUCUACAAGCUACAAUCUCCGGAUCCGGAAAUAGGAGUAUUCAGGGUGUCGGGUGUAUUUCCAUCAAUUUCACAAUGUGGCAAGAAGCUUGCAUUUGUUGACAACGAGUUUAAGGCUGUGUGGGUUGCCGAUAGCCGCGGAUUACAUAUGGUUUACAAGAGAAACGAUUCGAACAGCAUAUUUGGAACCGUGGAAAGGAUAUACUAUAUUUGUGUGUUGGACCUUCAUUCAACCAAAAAGAAACAGUUCAGAUUUUGGCGAUUAUCAACGUUUCCGAAAAUAAAAGAGAGUUCAAAUUUCUAACACAAAGGUUAUACAAUAGUGCUUUCCCAUCUACCAAUGGAGACGGGACGAGAUUAGUAUAUCGAUCUACAAAGGACGGAUCCAAGAAUUUAUACAUUAUGGAAAAUGCUCAACUAGGAGAGUUUGACGGAGCCAUGGUAACAAGACUAACAGAAGGGGAUUGGACAGACACACAUUGCCAAUGGUCUCCUACACAAGAUUGGAUAGUAUUCUCAUCGAAUCGUUCGAAUCCCAAGGCCAAACAACUUGAAGACCUUCCUGAUCCAGGGUACUUUGGUGUGUACAUGGUUAAGGCUAAUGAUAAAAAUGUGGUCAUCAAAGUGAUAGACAGUGGAAAUAUAUAUUUGGGUGGAUUAUUUCCGGGACAUGUGAACCAUCCAUUUUUCAGCCCCGAUGGCAAGAGUCUCGUUGUGACUGCUGAUCUUGCUGCAGUGUCCUGUGAUCCGGUGUCGAUGCCUAUAUUCCUUCACUCCGUGAGACCCUACGGUGAUAUAUUUAUCGUUGAUAUUGAUCCUAGUGACAUACAAAAGAAUGAGAAUUUGAAAAAAUUCAUACGUGUUACGCAAAGUAGAUAUGAAAACGCUACUGCAACUUGGCCCAUGGCUUCGACUAAGGACUUGCUUGCAAAAUGGAACGUCCGAUUAGCCGGUAACGAUGAUGCCAAGAAGUACAAACCAGAAUGCCCAUAUAUGCACAAAGGCGGAGCUGAAAGCUUUCACAUGACUGGACAUCUUUGCAUUCCAGAUAAUCGUUGCUGUUAGAUUGAAUUUUCUCUCUAUUUACUGUGAUUGAAAAUUAUAUAUUUUUUUUAAUGUGCCAACUAUUUUCUUUGCUUGUAAUAUGCUUGUAAAGUUGGCUGGUUGAUGAAUUUAAUAAUCAAUUGUUGCAUUGUUACCUCUUGUUAACCUCUUUGCCACUAUGUAUAUAUUCCUCUUCUCAUGCAUAUGCCAACAAGGAGAAAGAAACUAGCAAAUAUCUUGGGCAAUAUACUGAUGCAUUGGGUUUUAAUUUAUCGUAAUA